UUUCCGUAGGUGAACCUGCGGAAGGAUCAUUGUCGAAGCCUGCCCAGCAGAACGCCCCGCGAAAUUGUACAAAUCACCGGGGGCAGGGGCGAUCCCGCCCCGUGCCCUCGAACGGCAGGGAGACACUCGUGCCUGCUUGUCGAACAACGAACCCCGGCGCGAUCUGCGCCAAGGAACUUGAAUUAAAGAGUGCCUCCGUUUGCCUCGGAAACGAUGCGCGUGUCGGAGGCGAAUAUUGUACAAAACCAUAACGACUCUCGGCAACGGAUAUCUCGGCUCUG
rnacentral:misc_RNA from 1 species